ACGCACAAUAAGUCAGUUCUGCGUUCUUUCAGUAUUUAUGUGUAAAUAAUACAAUAAAAGUGUUAAAAUGCUUCCAAAAUCAGUGUUACUUAAUGUAAACAAACUUCAACUUACUGGAUUAUUACUAUAAAUUUAUGUGUUAAUGACUAAAAGAAAUUCGAACGUUUCAUGACGUCGUUUACAAAACGUCAUAACAAUAAGACAUAUUGGCGCCUUAUUUAGAAAAACAAUGAAAAUUACAAAGAAUUAGACAUGGAAUUACUUUGAUGUGAUACAUCUUCUUGCGACAACAAAGUUGAACUCUCAAACUGCCAAAGUGACAUUCAGGAAAGGGAAUUUCCCAGAAUUCAAUAAAACAAAUGGCUACCAACAUAACAAGGUGCCACUUGAAGCAAAUAGGUAAAUAGGUACAUGUAAGCUGGCAGAAAUUGUAAAAUAUUGAAAUGUACUACUAAGAAACAAAAUUCUAUAACAUGGAUGGCUUACAACUAGAUGAAAGUUCUGGUGAUGUUUAGAUUAUAUACAUUCACUUGAGAAAAUAUGCCAAUUGAUUUAUAUAGUCACAUAAUGUCACCUGUGACCAGUACGAACAACUUCACAGUCCAUGAGAAAAGGUCUGCGUAUUCAGGACCAGCUGUUCAUGACCGACCUGAUCGAACCGAACGCCAUGGACAUGCCGAACCACAUCGAUAUCCACCGACGACGGCAAGGCGGUCCACGGCCCGCGCAAACCUCACCAUGAGGGCUAUUGUCAAUGGCGUCAACGAACUGAGCAUGCACGCGUGCACUUCGGAGCUUCAGCUUGCGUUCCCCAAUAUUCUGCCUCCGUGCAUUGAUAUAUGUUUAAUAUUUCAGAGCUUUUAAACAUUCUGAAUGGUUACUGAAUUACUUUAGACAGAUUAAAUUUUAUGACUUGUUGAAAAGGCAUUUAAA